AAGGAAGACAGAGACGUCGAGGCGAAAAGGCAGUGCAAACAAUGGGCCUUUGUACUUUGAGGAGAGGGGCCCAAAAGAGACCGUCUUUAUAUGGGAAAAUACAUACCUUAAUAGGCUCAUCUGGGAACAAAUCAGAAGAUAUGGCAUUUAUUUAAAUGGGUUCACAUUUAAGCACAUUCCCUGAAGAUUAGAAACGAGGCGGUUCAAUACAUCCUAAACUUUUAUUUCCAUCUUUGGUUUUUGUUUGUCCAAAACAAAGGACUUAAAACAUGUUUCUAUGAGACUCCUUUCAGAAACUACGACGUCUUUUGUUUUGUCGGUGAAAGCCAGGCUGCAGCAUGGGACUCCGCCGGGCAGCACGGCCAUUGCUCUUUUCCAGGAUCCCACUGGGUUUCCUUCACAGAUGUAGCAACAUAAGUGACUUGAGACAUGAGGAAACGGUUCCCGCCUCUUUUCAGAGGCACCUGGUAUCCGACGGAAUGUGUAUGUCCACUGUAAACCAACCUGAACGUGAGGACGCACGCUUUGGAAAAAAAAGCAGCCUUGCCGAAAAUGUAUCCGGUCCCCCACCUCCGUGGCGCCACGACCGGUGGGGGAAUUCUAACCAUCUGUUUAUCAGUAUUUGUCUGAAGCAGUGGCGGGAAAAAUGCUGAUACGAACGCCCUCAUUUACAUUACAAAGACUGACUGACUUUUACAAACGGUGAUGAUGACAGAUUUGUGUUGAUAAGCCGCAGUGAAACGGAGGAUACCGGAAUAAAAUGAACUGGGACUAGCAAAGUGCACGCCGUCGAUUACAGAUCUCCAGCGAAGGCCUGCCUGCAAAAGGUUACUGCCGUCCGGUUGUAUGGAACAACUGUGAGUCACCAUUGAGCCUUCGUCCAACCCCGUCCACUGCGGCUACUCUGCCCUGACGCCCAAACUGUCACUGGCUGCACUCACUGCUACCGUAACAUAGGCGUGCUAAUGCUAGCAACAACGUGCUAACAGAUUAUGCUAAUGCUAGAAGUAUGACUAUAGCACAAUGGCAAACAACAACAAAAAAACCUAACAACAAACAACAAAAAAAACUAAAGCCUAAAAAUAGCACCUACUACCCUGAAAUGAAACACUAAGUCAAUGGGCCUCGGGAUUGAUAAACAGUCAUGAGCCCAUAACGCCACCAGAGAGUACGUCGUCCAUACCGCACGCUGAUGACCGAGGUGUGACAACGGCGGUACAGAAACUUUCAGGAAUAAUCUGCCUGCUGGUUGUAUUACAGCGACGGAUGAGUGCUCAUUAGUGUCAGCCGCCCUCAGAAAGGAUGGACUCACAUGGUGAACCUUCUUCUUCCCUUCUCACCCGCCCCUGAUCAAAAAGGCUUACAGCGGGCUGAUGAACGUCACCUUCGAGGCGUUCAGUUGACGCUCUUAUCUUCCCAGCAAUCAUGACCGGGUGGAACAUGCUCCGUUUGUUUUACAUCCGCUCUCAUGUUUCACGGGUCAGCAUGGCAGGCUGGUCCGGUGCUUUAAGUUUUGUUCCAAGAGGUUGUAUGCAAAGACUAACAAGUGUGGAAGCGUACCGUGCAUGCAUGUAGAUCAGGCCGCCCUGCGUACGUCCCGCUCAUUCUUAUGUUUAGUAAUCUCUGAUGUGUGGAUUCUGAGGUUAUUUAGAGUGUGUGGGUUGAUAUUUCUUCUCCCUGUGGUGUUUUUCAUCUCUGCACUCUAAGAUCAUUCGGCCUGAUUGGUAUUCAUGUCGGCUCGCUGUCCUAAUGCAUCAGGGCUUCUGUGGACAAUAUAUUAAGCGAGCUGAUUGUUUCACACACUGCACUGUCAAGUGGAAAUAAUAUACCUACCAUGUUUAAAAGCUUUCAAUUUUCCAGUGAUCUACGGCCCUUUAGGGUUUCUCUUCACAUUUUCAUUUUCAGUCUGAUCUCUCGAGGAUGAUAUGAAAACAAAAAUGUAAGAGUGUGCGACAGCGUUUGUGGAAAUCCUCCCAGCUGAAGACACAGCAGCCUCCACUGAUGGCUGAAUGGGUCCUAACCGCAGAUCCUGUCUACUGGUGCACGUUUGACAUAACGCCAGAGGGGCCCGGUCCUGUUUAUAUCGCAUGUGUAGAAUCGGCGCGAUGCGUCACCGUCAGACUCCACUUCUUUUGACAAGCGCCUGCCGGUGAGUUGCGCACACAUGGCAACGGGAUGAUUAGUGAUGUUCUCUGCCAUGGUGACAAUGUGCACACACCUCAACGUGUACGAUCAUCUGUGUAAAACAUCCUUUGAUGUACAUAUCAUCUUUAUGUAAUAGUUCCUCUGAAGGUCACACAAAUGAGGCACCAGAGAAAAAAGGAUUCUAAGACAACAUCUUGCAAAUCACGAAGGAUAAAGACUCAAAAGGGGCCUUAAAUAUAGAGUUGUUAUUGUAAUAAUGUAUGAAAUAUUCCGUCCUGUUCACUUGCAUUGACAAAAUAUCUGCCAGCUGUUUUAACCUCCGUGCCCCUGAUUUCUCUUGAAUAAUAUAUUGAAUCUUGGUUUAAGUGCAGCUAACUUUGUCCUUGGUGUAACUAAAGAAGACCUUUAAAAACAAUACUAGUCAUCUACUAUUUUGCUUUCCAACAUUUUUGAAUAAAUAUUGAAUCACCCUUCAAAGCUGGUGUAUCACAUGCAUGUCACAGGGAGACUAUUUUAGUCCACCCCACCGCCCAGUUGACACUGAUCUGGGGCAUUUUGUCCAGGGCAAGGGAGAGAAUAGAGACAUUAAUGGUGGCUGUAAUUGCAUGGCAAGGCUGAAAUAGAAAUAUGAGUGAAAAAAAAAUAGAUAAAAUCAGAAGAAAAAAAAUGCUAAAGUGCUGCUGUAAAAAGAUACCUGAGAAGAAUUGAGUAUAUCUCAGCACAAAUGUUUGACAAAGUGCAAACAGGAAAAAAGCCAAUAUUUUGAGAUUAAGAGAAUAUCGGGUUCGGGCACACUGUUGUUUACAUUUCACAUUUGUCAGUCAAAAUGUGUAGAUGCUGUUUUUAUCUCACAGAUGUACCAAGAAGAAUAUUCUCUGUGUGAUCUUGUGAUGAACUUCAUUUUGUCGGUGUGAGUAUUGAUUGGUUUCAGGAAUGUUGUGUGCUAUAAAUGCUACAUUCUGGACCCUUUAAACUAGCAACCUUCUGAUUUAAAGAUGACGCGCUCCGUUUCCUGAGCCAGUAUCUCAAAUUUUGUGGGGUGAUUUCCGUUGCCU
ensembl:lncRNA